rnacentral:rRNA from 1 species
UACAGAGGGUGCGAGCGUUUGUUCGGAAUUAUUGGGCGUAAAGGGCGCGUAGGCGGUGCGGUAAGUCACCUGUGAAAUCUCCUGGCUCAACUGGGAGCUUGCAGGCGAAACUGCCGUGCUGGAGUGUGGGAGAGGUGCGUGGAAUUCCUGGUGUAGCGGUGAAAUGCGUAGAUAUCAGGAGGAACACCUGUGGCGAAAGCGGCGCACUGGACCACAACUGACGCUGAGGCGCGAAAGCGUGGGGAGCAAACAGG